rnacentral:rRNA from 1 species
AGAGUUUGAUCCUGGCUCAGAUUGAACGCUGGCGGCACGCUUAACACAUGCAAGUCGAACGGCAGCAUAAUUUGUAGCAAUACAGAUUGAUGGCGAGUGGCGGACGGGUGAGUAAUGCGUAGGGAACUGUCUUUAAGUGGGGGAUAACCUAGGGAAACUUGGGCUAAUACCGCAUAGACUCUGAGGAGUAAAGCUGGCUUUCGGGCUGGUGCUUGAAGGUGUACCUACGUCGGAUUAGCUAGUUGGUUAGGUAAAGGCUGACCAAGGCGAUGAUCUGUAGCUGGUCUGAGAGGACGGCCAGCCACACUGGGACUGAGACACGGCCCAGACUCCUACGGGAGGCAGCAGUGGGGAAUAUUGGACAAUGGGGGCAACCCUGAUCCAGCGAUGCCGCGUGUGUGAAGAAGGCCUGCGGGUUGUAAAGCACUUUAGUUGGGGAGGAAGCUUGUUAGUUUAAGAGAUAAACAAGUUGACGUUACCCAAGGAAUAAGCACCGGCAAACUCUGUGCCAGCAGCCGCGGUAAUACAGAGGGUGCGAGCGUUAAUCGGAAUGACUGGGCGUAAAGGGCGCGUAGGCGGUUAUAUAAGUUAGAUGUGAAAGGCCUGGGCUUAACCUAGGUUGGUCAUUUAAUACUGUAUGACUAGAGAGGAGUAGAGGGCAGUAGAAUUCCCGGAGUAGCGGUGAAAUGCGUAGAUAUCGGGAGGAAUACCGGUGGCGAAGCGACUGUCUGGACUCUUACUGACGCUGAGCGCGAAAGCGUGGGGAGCGAACAGGAUUAGAUACCCUGGUAGUCCACGCUGUAAACGAUGAA